UUGCCUUUGGAAGAGUCGAGGAUGGAUUUCACCAUGGAUUGUCCGGUUUUGAGGUUAUCGGAAGAGACGGAAAUGGCGGAUUGGAUGAAUUGGAGGGAGGUCGGAUUAGGAGGAAGAAGAGAGGAUCGCGAAAGGGAGGAUUCGCAGGGUUGUGGGAAGCGAGUGGAUUUGCAAGCAAGGCGGAUUCGAGAGGAGUCAGAGGCGUAAACAGGGGAGUUAUGAGGUGGGUGAUGACUGGAAGAAGAGAAGAUGAAGAAAUGGGAGAGGGAAAGAAGGGAAAGGAGAAGAAAAGCAGACAUGGAUAGUGAGACAAGGAGAGAAGUGGAAUUCCAGGGAUUUCUUCUGGGAUGUUUUUUGUGGGACUGGUGAGAAGGAGGUGGUGAAGAUGAAUGCAUGGUGGGGGGGGUAUAAAUAUGAUAAGGAGAGUUGAUUAGGAAUUUGGGAGUUGGGUAAAAUUUGGAGAUAUGUGUUGGUUUGGAACGAAAGCGAAUGAAAUCACGAGAAGAGAAGAGUGAAAGGAGUCACGGGGCGCUUGGGAAUGGGCAGGGCAUGUUAGAGUUUGGAAGUUUGCCAAUGGAAGCAGUGGAAGUGGAAAUGGAAGGCGUGGCCAUUUACUGUCAGUCACGAGAUUGAUUGGGUAGAAAAAGUAAUCCCAAAGAAAAGAGGGAAAGCUUUUGUUUUUGAUGCGGUGAAACUAAAUGGAAUGAAGGUUAGGAAACGAGGAAAACUGUGGGCGUGGGGAAGCGGAGGGAAGGAACAAGGGGAAUGAAAUAAGAAAAAGCACAUGGGAGAUUCUUAUAUUAAACUGGGUAAUCGGGUUCGGGUCUUACUGAAUUCAAAUACUACUGCCUGCUUUAUAUAUCGCUUUCAUCACACCAGUUGCCAUGGGGAUCGGCUUUCAUUUCUUAUGUCUUGUUGUCGAUUUUCAUUUUACUUGCCUUUGAAAUUAAUAAUAAUUUCAUUUAUUGUUCAUUUAAUCAUCAUGUGCAGCACAUAGAUAACUAGUUAAUUAAAUUACAUAAUCACAAUUUUAUUAAUAAAUUAAAUAUGAAACCUUUUUUAAUCAUUCAUACAUUUUUAAAUAUUUUCUAAAGUUAUUUUGAUGAUGAAAAAAGUAAUAUGAAAAAUACAUUAAUAGUUUUUUAAUAAACUUAUUUUUAAAAUUUUAAUGAAAAAUUAUAGGUAAAGAGUUAUUUUAGUGGUUUGAAAUAUUUAUAUUAAACAAUUAUUAAGUUUUUAUUAAAUUUUGUGAAAAACUUAAAUAAUUUUAAGGGAUUUUGAAGCUUAUAUAGUGACUAUUAGAAGUACUCAUGGGCCUGGUUAGAUUUAGGUCGGAUCUAAGUAUAAUAUUAACAUAUUUUAUACUUGUUCAAGUCCGGUUUGACUCAAAAUAUGUACUUAAAAUUUUGUCCAAAUUCGACUAUAUUUACAAAAGACUAACCUAAGUCCAAUUUAGGCAGCUCGUAUUAUAUUUUAAAUAUUUUUUAAAAAACAUUUAUAUAAUCUUAUUUUAAUAUUAAUAAUUUUUUUAUUUAUUACAAUUUUAUAUAAUCAUCUUAAUAUUAUUUUAAUGUUUACAUAAGAGUAAUAUCAUAUACUUAGUAUAGGUUUAUUUUUUUAAUUUGUUAUAAAUUAUAUAAUAUAUAAAAAUAACAUAAUAUAAAAUAUUAUAAAUUUAAAAACGAGUUGGUUUGAGUCGAACUCGGGCCUGAAAUAUUCAAACCCAUGCCCUCUUAUAUUUUAAACAACCCAUUUUUUAGGCCUAAUUUUUUUAUCCGAGCCUUCUCAAAUUUUGGAUAAGCUAACUCAGCACAUGAAUAUAUAUAGGAAAUGAUUUGAGAGAGGAUAAAUAAAACAGAAAUGGAAUUGUAGUUUGAUGAUACAUCAAAGCAAAUCAAACACAGAGCGUGGUGGGUACUGUCACGUGAAUAUACAAACCAUGAAAAGGGAAACGCAUUGAUUGCUGAAUUUAUUCACAUUUCUUUAUUAAGGGUUUACAAAUUUUCAAGCAUCCAUGCGAAUGAUACAGCGGAUGCCCUCCCCAGCAAGCAUGUAAUCGAAGGCCUUGUUUAUAUCCCGGAAUGCCACUUGAUGCGUUAUAAAUUUCUCCAGCUCAAGCUCCUACAUGCAUCACAAAGAAAUUACAAACAUGAAUGUUCUAAGUAGCCAUCCAACAUGUUAGAAUUGGUUGACAACAUGCUUUAACUCAGAUUUGGUAUUAUAUUCUAGGAAUUAAGAUUCAAAGUUUAGCUAGCGCCAUAUUUGUCCAGAAGUUUUAGGAAGGAAUGAUGUAGCUUACUUUGUUCAUAUACUUUUCCACCACCGAGGGAAGGUCGGACCGGGNNNNNNNNNNNNNNNNNNNNNNNNNNNNNNNNNNNNNNNNNNNNNNNNNNNNNNNNNNNNNNNNNNNNNNNNNNNNNNNNCUGUUAGGAACACCGACGAGUACCGCAACACCCCAUCCCUGCACAAAAACCAAAAACAUGGCCAAAUGUGUCGAACAUCACAAUUUCUGUUAUUUGCUUCGUUCUACUUCCUAGGUUCUAUCAAGUUUAGGCAAAUGCAUGAAGAAAGGGAAUUACAUCGUGAACACAUUCAAAUGCAGAGAUCAUGGCAUUAAUGUUUCCAGUACACUCGACGCUUCGAUCAACUCCCCCAUCUGUCAUUUCAGCGAGCACCUGAAAAUAAGGGAGUAAAAUUUUGAGAAUGAAGGGUUGUCUUCAUUUAGUUUUACCUUGAAACCAAUAGUUAGGGUUUUCACAAACCUCUUGAACCGGCUUGUUAUGGUCUUUCGGGUUGACGAAUUCAGUGCAACCAAAUUUCUUAGCUGUUUAAGAUACACCAAGGAAACUGAACAUUAGACGAAGCAUUUUAAAGACAAUAAAUCAAAAAAUUCCCUUCUGGGGUUUUUAACUUACCUUCCUCAAAUCUGUUAGGAUUCAGAUCAACCCCAAUAAUCCUAGAAGCGCCUGCAAUUCUAGCCCCUUCAGCAGCCUAAUUAUAAACACCACAUCAACAAUGUUAUCCAAGUUAGCAGCAGCAGGGGCGAGGAAAAAAGUUACGAAACUUAUUAUGUUCCCACGCAUUAUUAUUUUUCUUGAAAUAUCUAUGUCCAAGAAUGGCAUUGGACACAUGAAGCUAAGAAUAUAGCCUCCAAAAUUUCCUCCAUAUACAUUUUUAAAAAAGUAACUUCGAGAAAACUGAUCAUAACCAUGUGGAACACAUCCCAUAUACGAUACUCUGCUCAAUUGUAUGGAAGAAGGGAUACUCACAGCGAGGCCUACUGCUCCCAGUCCAAAAAUGGCCACAGUUGAACCUUUGGUGGGCUUUGCAACAUUCAAGGUGGCACCAAGACCUCGAAAAUGAUUUAAAACUCCAUUAAACUAACAGAUUAGAUGGAAAAUGAAAAUUUUAAAUCAAGUAACAAAUUGGUUCUUUUUUAAGACCUGUAGAGAUGCCACAGCUGAGAAUACAAACUUUGUCAAGAGGAGCGGCGGGAUUGAUUUUGGCAACACUGCCAACAUGAGCAACAGUGUAUUCACUGAAGGUGGAUGUGCCAACGAAAUGAUAGAUGGGUUUUCCAUUAAUGGAGAACCUGGUCUUGCCAUCACUAAGCAUCACCCCUCGGUCAGUGUUGAUCCUUAGCAGGUCACACAUGUUGCUUUCCUUGGACUUGCAAUGACGACAGUUGCCGCAUUCCCCGGUGAAGACCGGAAGCACAUGGUCACCGGGUUUAAGGUGUGUCACACCCUCACCCACACUGUCAACAAUCCUGCAAACAAAAUAGUCAAUAGAGUGAUAAAAAUAUCUGGUUACCACACUAAAUGGAUACAGACACGCCCAUUAAUACCUAGGUUCAACAGAUCCGACCAAUCUGACAUAGAUCCCAUGCAGAUGCUGUUCAAAAUAAAAAAUAUGCCUUGCUGAAUUUAUAUGGAAAUGGAUCGGAUAAGAGUUUGACUGUUGGACUCAUUGAUGAUAGAGGUACUUAAAAUGAAAAAAGGAAAAAAAAUUUAGUGUUGAGCAUACCCCCCAGCUUCAUGACCAAAUAUACGAGGGAAUAAUGGAGUUUGGCCCUGUAAGAUGACAAUGAUGAACAAUAUUAGUUUCCAAGUAUGCGAGUAAUGAGUAUUGCUUUACAACGAGAAUGCAUCAUGAGGAGGCACUUAACUAAAAUACCUUGGCUUCCCAAAAGUAAACAUCAGUGUGGCAGAGAGAGGUGAAGAGGAUCUUCAGACGGACCUCCAUUGCUUGUGGUGGUGCCACCUCCACUUCUUCAAUCACUAGUGGCUUCCCGGCUUCCCAUGCCACCGCAGCUACAUGCAGUUGCAAUGUAUUUCAAAGAAUAAGCAUAUACAAUGACAAAUGGUUUUCCUCAAAAACGAAGCAUCAAAGUAUGAUGAUAAAACCCUAAACACUCAAGUAAAAAUCCAGAAUGAAAAUAGACCUUUGCAACGAAUGACCUGACCAGCAGUGCUUUGGGCAGACAUAUUGACUUGGCAAACUAUCCGUUUUCUCCUUUUGGAAACCUGGAAAAAUAUUCUAGUAAAUUGGGGUUUAGGAGCUUGGCAUCUCUUAAAGUAAGAAUCGAGGGGACUGAUAUUUUUACACGUCAAAGAAGCCUGUUUUGACAGGGCAUUUGUAAGAGACAUAUACAUUGAAUUCAUGAACUAGAAGCAAGAAUUCACCCAAGGAAAACGCUGUUCUUCUUUUGAUCCGCAAAGCAAACGACGCCUAAAAUUUAUUUGUUUUCCCGAACAUGGGUUCGUGAAUAUAGUAUUUUAGUAGAUUAAUUCGACGGGUUGAGGCAAGUGUGCAACUUUACAUUUAGCUAAAAGUGAUCAGACGCUUGUUUCGAAAUAUCUGCCUUCUACCAUUUUCGGCCGGACACGUGGUGGUCCUCCGUACCCCUGUCGACUGAGUCCCUGUCAUGCCUGACCAUACUCAGAACUUACAAUAUGGACUUUUUCAACCAUGCGCUCUAUAAAAUUUUAAGCAUAUCAAUUGUUUUAUCAAAUUAUAUUUUUAAGUAUAUAUAUUUGAUUUUGGUUUAAUUGAUAUUCUUAUUUGUAUAUAUAAUAUAUCAAUAUAAAAAAUUUCAACUCAUAUAUAAGAAUCAAAAUUAUCAAAAUUUACAUAUAAAAAAUACUUGUAUAUCCCGUCCCAAAAUAGGUUAGGAGUUAGACUUAUUAAACUUGAAAAAUAUAUUUUAAAUCUUUAUCAAUUGAUUAAUUGAAGAGAAAUGGAAUUGUAGUUUGAUGAUUCAUCAAGGCAAAGGAACAGAAGCGUGGUGGUACUGUCUCAUAUAGUAUACAGAGCAUGAAAAAGGGAAACAACAUUAAGAUAUGUAUGAUCGAUGGCGAUUACAAAUGAAGUUUGAUAGGUUUCAAGUAUCCAUGCGAAUAAGACAGCGGAUGCCCUCCCCAGCAAGCAUGUAAUCGAAAGCCUUGUUUAUAUCUGAGAAUGCCACUUCAUGCGUUAUAAAUUUCUCCAGCUCAAGCUCCUGCAUGUAUCACAUUACUCUUUCUGAGUUCAUAACAAAUUACAGAAAUGAAUGUUCUAAGCAGCCAUCCAAUUGCUUGCUAGGAAGGAAUGAUGUAGCUUACUUUGUUCAUGUACUUCUCCACAACUGAAGGAAGGUCGGACCGGGGCUUGUAGUUGCCAAAGAAGGUACCUUUCAGAGUCCUCUCGUUCAGAAAAUUCACGGGAUGUGUUUUAAAAGCAUCAUCUUUGUUCGGAACACCGACGAGUACGGCUACACCCCAUCCCUGCAUAAAAACAGAAAACAUAGCCCAAUGUGUCAAGCAUUAUUGUCUCUGUUCUUAGCUUCAUUCUGCUUCCUAGGCAAAAUGCAUGAAGAAAGGGAAUUACAUCGUGGACACAUUCAAAAGCAGAGAUCAUGGCAUUGAUGUUUCCCGUGCACUCAACGCUUCGAUCAACUCCUCCAUUUGUCAUUUCAGCCAGCACCUGAAAAUAAGGGAGUAAAUUUUGGGAAUGAAGUGUUGUAUUUAUUUAAAUGUACAUUACAGCCAAAAGUUAUGGUUUUCAGUCACAGACCUCUUGAACUGGCUUGUCAUAGUCUUUAGGGUUCACGAAUUCAUUGCAUCCAAAUUUCUUGGCUGUUUAAGAUACACCGAGGAAACAAAACAUUAGAGGAAGCAUUUCAAUUUUCAGGACAGUAAAUCAACAACUCCCUUUUGGGAUUCGUAGCUUACCUUCCUCAAAUCUGUUAGGAUUCAGAUCGACUCCAAUAAUCCUAGAAGCGCCUGCAAUUCUAGCCCCUUCAGCAGCCUAAUUAUAAACACCACAUCAACCAGCAGCAGGGCCAAGGGGAAAUAAAUUAUACGAAACUAUGUUGGUUUAACUCUUUACUGAUAUCAAUAUAUAUAUAUAUAUAUAUGAGAGGACUCUGAAGAAAGUGAUACAACCAUGUCGGACACUCACGUCCAAAUUUGAUUAAACAUAGUAUUGAAGAAGGGAUACUCACAGCAAGGCCUACUGCUCCCAGUCCAAAAAUGGCCACAGUUGAACCUUUGGUGGGCUUUGCAACAUUCAAGAUGGCACCAAGACCUCGAAAAUUAUUUAAAACUCCAUUAAACUAACAUAUUAAAUGGAAAAUGAAAAUUCUGAAUCAAGUAACAAAUUGGUUUUGUUUAAGACCUGUAGAGAUUCCACAGCUGAGAACAAAAAUUUUGUCAAGAGGAGCGGCGGGAUUGACUUUAGCAACACAACCAACAUGCACAACAGUGUAUUCACUGAAGGUGGAUGUGCCAACAAAAUGGUAGAUGGGUUUUCCAUUAAUGGAGAACCUAGUCUUGCCAUCACUAAGCAUCACCCCUCGAUCAGUGUUGAUCCUUAGCAGGUCACACAUGUUGCUUUCCUCGGACUUGCAGUGACGACAGUCGCCGCAUUCCCCGGUGAAGACCGGAAGCACAUGGUCCCCGGGCUUAAGGUCUGUCACACCCUCACCCAAACUCUCAACAACCCUGUCAAUAGAGGGAUAAAAAUAUCUAAUUGAGUUGCUCAAUGUAUAGGGAAAUGGAUGGGAUAUGAGUUUAGGGCAUACCCCCCAGCUUCAUGACCAAAUAUGCGAGGAAAGACUGGAGUUUGGCCCUGUAAGAUGACAAAUGAUUGACCAUAUUAGUUUUCAAGUAUGUUAAUUGCUUCACAACGUGAACGAAUCAUGAGAGGCAAUAAAUUAAUUAAAUUACCUUGGCUUCCCAAAAGUAAACAUCAGUGUGGCAGAGAGAGGUGAAGAGGAUCUUCAGACGAACCUCCAUUGCUUGCGGUGGUGCCACCUCCACUUCUUCAAUCGUCAGUGCCCUCCCAGACUCCCAUGCCACCGCAGCUAGUUACAGUUGCAAAGUAUUCCAAUUUUUUUAAAAUAAAUAAACAUAUACAAUUGCACAUAAACUCUUAAGUAAGAUUCGAGAAUCAAAGAGAAAAGAUAAAUGAAGAAAACAGAACCAAAUGUACCUUUGCAACGAAUGACCUGACCAGCAGUGCUUGGGGCUGACAUAUUUACUAUGAAAAAGAAAUUCUAAUAAAGUUGUUUUUUAGCUUUCUCUUAUAAAAGAAAAUCGAUGGGACUGGAGUUUUACACUUGGGGUAUUUAUAAAGUUCAUGCAUGUUUUUUUUAUUAUAUGGUUAUUAAGUAAAUAUUUUUUAAUUUUAAAAUCUCACGCAACAAUUUUAACAAAAAAAAAAUUAUACCAAUGUAAAUAAAUCAUUCAAAAUUUUUAAAUUAAAAAAAUUCGGAAUGUUAAACCUAUUAUAAUUUUAAAUUUUUAUCUAUAAUUUAGGAAAAAUAAUUAAUUAAUAGCAUGACAAGUGGAACAUGAAUGUGAGAGGAGGCGACGACUGGCUGGGUGUCUUGUCUUCUUCCUUUAUAGGACAACACCUGGUGGUCCAAACUCCAACGCAGUUUGAUUUUUCAUUUUCCAAUACCGAUCCUGUCAUGCCUGACCAAAGCCUUCAUUUAAAAUAUUACGCUUUAUUUACUUUAGUGAUUGCGGUGGCCAUCUCAUGUCAUGUCCAUCAUUGGUUCCAGAAGUUUACUUAUUUUUAAAUUGGUUUAAAUAUGAAAUAAAUUCUUCUACUUUUUUAUAAAUUUUAUUUUUAAAAAUUUAGUUUCCUCAUUUUGUUAAUUUUAAAUUUAUUAAUAUUAUUUUACAGGUUUGUGUAAAAUAUAAUUAUUUUAAGAAAUCAAUAAAUACUCCCUUAUUAAGUUAAUAAAGAUAUAACAUUACAUUUCACUUAAGUAAUAAAUUAGAAUAUCGUAGAUAUUGCAUAUGAUUUUAUAUGUUAAUUUUAUUUUUUAAUAUUUUGUUUUUAUUUUUAUUUUAAAAUUUUAGUGUAAUGUAUAUUAUUUAAAUCGUUUAACAUAAUUAAAAAUAUUACAGAAAUAGCAAAUUUUAAUCCUUUUAAAAAAAGUAUUUUCAUUAAAGUCUCAAUGAAAUAAUAAUGAAAUUCAAACUCUUUUUAGUGAUUUUUAACUACUAAUUAAAUGAAAAUACCUAAAUAUUUAAUAUUAAUGCAUAUAUUUUGUAGUGUUAAGUUUUAGCUUUAAAUUGAAAAAGUUUUAUUAGAAAAGAAAUUAAUUAAAAUAUAAACAUCUAGAAUUUAAUUGAAUUAAAAUUAAAUUUAAAAUAUUUAGCAAGUAUUUGAAUAAAAAAUACUAUCAUUCAGGCUUUUUUUUUUAAAUAAACUUACGUUUAUUUAUUAAAAAUACAUUAUGUUUUACAUAUAAUUGUAUUAAAUAUAAUGUAAUCUAUGAUUUAAUUUAAUAAUUAUUAAACCUGAUUAUAUUUUUAUUUUUUUAAUUGAAAUUUGAUGAAUACAAAAGAUUAGAAUAACAAGUAAUUACUAAUGGGUAAAUUCAUCUUUUUAUUUAAAAAUCAAUUAAUAAAUAAAUCAUAGGAGGGUGAGUGGAUAUUUUUUCAAACAAGUAAAAUAAUUUAUCAAUUCUAAUUGGAUUUGAAUAACCCUAAUUUUUUUAUUUAGCCUUUUGAAAUGAAUUUAUUAAUUUUAAAACUAAAAUAUAUCUAAUUUAACAAAUUGUUUGAUCAAAUAAGAUUUUAUUUAUAUAUUAAAAUUCUAUUGAAAUAAAAUAAGUAAAUGAAAUUUAAAACCAACUUAAUUAUAUUUGUAAAUUGAUUAAUAUUUGAUAUUGCAACUAAUUUUUUUUUUUUAUAAAUAGUGUUACGUCCAAAUUGAUAACAAUCUUUCAUGAUAAAUCCACUAGAGUGAAUUUAGAGAUAUUCUUUUAUGUUUUGUAGGUCUAUUAAGGGGAUAGACGUUAGCUACGAAUUUUAAAGUUGCUCUAUAUUUAGGACGAGGAUCAAACCCUUGACUAUUAAUUAAGGUAGAAGAAAUCAUUGUCAUCUUAUCUAACCCCAUAAUACUUAACUAUAUAUGCGUGUGAAUUAAUAUACUCUAUUUGAAAUAAUUCAACUUUAAAAAAAAAUAAAUGUAGCUCUAAAUCUCUUAAGCUUUAGCUUUAAAUCUAUACUCCUAACUAAUAAUAUAUAUCUCUAAUACUUUUGAACCCACGAAGUAAAAUAUAUAUAUUCUAUAUAAAAUAAUAACAAUUACACAUUAAUUAUAGUAUCCUAAAUUAGUGGGAAAUAUUAUCUCUUCGUAAUUGACUUGCUAUCACUAAAGGUAUCUCCUGAAAAGUAUGUGGAUUGACAAGGAAUUGCUUCAUCGAUUUGGCAAGAGCAUGUGCUGUAACACCCCUAGCCCAUAUUCGUUGCCAGAACAAGGUUACGGAUCAUUAUCGAAAUAUACAGAUCAAAUACAGACAUUUCAUAUUAUUUAACAUUCAUGUCAGAAAUUAUUCAUAAAAUCCUUUAUAUGAGCCUUCGAGACCCAAAACAUGCAUUAGAAACAAGUCGGGACUAAACCGAGUACUUAGAGAAUUUUUCGCAAAAUUUCAAAAUUUUUCCAAUGUGAAGGGGACACACGCCCGUGUGGGCAUUCAAAAUAGGGCACACGACAGUGUCCAGCCCGUGUCCGUACCCAUGUAACUCUCUAACUUAGGUCACAAGGCCAAGCCACACACCCGUGUGCUAGGCCGUGCGUCACACACGGCUGAGACACACGCCUGUGUCUCUGCUCGUGUGGACGAAAAUAGGCCAUUUCCAAGGCAACUUUUCUCACCCAAAUUGUCUUCCACCUACAACAACACCUUAACACAUUCUCAAGGCAAUAUCAAUCAUUCAAAUUAAGCUAAAACCAAGUUUAGUACAUAUUAUAACAUCCUAUAUAUCCAAGUAUUCAAUUUCCCCUAAUUGAACCAUUUCACAUACAUGCAUAUCUUACCAAUUAUACUAACUCAAAUCAAUUAAUAAUGAGCUUAUAUAUUUUCCAUCAUUUAACCAAUUCAAAGACUCAUUAAACACAUUAAGACCAUAUAUAAACUCAUCAAAAUAUCUCAUUCACAAGCCAUUCCAAUGGCUAGUUACAACCAAACAUUUACAUUGCCAUCAUUGGUCAUAUUUAGCCUAUACAUGUCAUUAUAACCAAAAUUAGUUUACUAUAUAUAUACCAAAAAGUUCGAGGGAUCGUAUGAUGUGACUCCGACCAGCUUCCAACCUUUACGAGCCUCCAAGUACUAUAAAGCAGAGGAAAUAAAACAGAGUAAGUAUUUAAUGCUUAGUAAGUUCGUAUAACAAGAAACUUACUUACCAAUCAUUUUCAUUUAAAUAAGCAUACAAAAUGCAUCCAAGCAAUUUGGCUAAUAGCCUAAACACACAACUUCAUCAAACAUGUUAGUCAUUUAUUUCACAUGAAUAUCAAGAAUUAUGUAUGAGCUCAUCAACAUCAAAUUUCCAUGUAUUUCGUAUAUAUACAGAUAACGUUUCACUUUGAAUUCAUAUAUUUUCUCAUAUCAGGAUUUUGCCCGUUGAACCAUUUAAAAUAUCGAUGGAUACCCAAGUAGUACACACGAAGUGUACAAACCUGAAAUCCGUCAAUUCAUAUUCGGGAAUGCUCAUGUGAGCACAUAAACGGGAAGCUCUUUCCAGCUAUAUAACAGAAAAGCUCAUGUGAGCCAUGUAACGGGAAGUUUUGGAACAAAUGUAAUACCCCCUACCCGUAUUCGUCGCCGGAAUAGGAUACGAGGCAUUAUCGAAUUUUACCAAAUUAAUUUUCUGUUAUUACGAGUUAAAUACUAUUCAUUUACCAAAACAUGUCAUGACGUCCCUUAGAUGGGCCUUCGAAGCCCAAAACAUACAUCGACACCAAACCGGGAUUAAAUCGAAACCAUAAGAAAUUUUUUGCAAAAUCCCAAAGUUUUUUUUUAUGAACUCAAUAUAACCCCUUUAUAAAUAUCUAACCUUCCCUGCAAUUUUAAACUGAGACCAAUCCAAACCAAUCAAUCCAUUUCAACAUAUUUUCAAGAUAGAUUCAAACAUAUCCAUAAGAUAACCUCAUCACAUACCAAAACCAAGAUUUAUUAGUCAUACUAAUGGCUAACAUUAUAUUCAUUUCACAUUAACACUUACUUUAUUAGCUUAUACAUGCCAUUGAUUUCCAAAAUAAAAUUUCUUUAUAUACCGAAAUCUUGAGGUUGAUAGUGUGAUACGUCUCCGACCGAAUCCAACCUCCGAGCUCUAAACACUACAAAACAGGGGAAAAGGAAACAAGGUAAGCAUUUUGUGCUUAGUAAGCUCAUGUAACAAGAAUUAUACUUACCUAAUAUUUUCAAUACAAUGCAAUAAACAUUCAAACAUCCAUUCAAUGCAUUAUUCCCCUAACAUGCACAAACUCAACAUUCAAGUUAGUCCAAUAAUUUCCAUGUAUCAAUAAUAUAUACCAUGAUUGAUGAGCUCAUCAAUACCAUGAUUUUCAUUCCCUUGUUAUUUUUCCAUAUUUAUCUCGUUCAAUUUCUUGGAAUUUCGAUGGAUUUUCAGGGGUACACUUUAGUGUACAAAUCUAGGUCUGUCAAUUUAUAUUCAUCUGUGUACAUUUCCAUUUCAGAGAGCACACUCCCGCGAACCUCAUUCUUAUAGCGGGAUUACCAGUCCAGGCUAAAUCCCCUGUAAUAUAAACUCAUAGAGUAUUGUCGGGAUUACCAGACCAGGCUAAAUCCCUUGCAAUGACAAUUACUAUAAUGAGCUUGGAUCUGAAUUACCAGUCCAGGCUAAAUUCAGACCCUAAUUCGAAUUACCCGUCUGGGCUAAAUCAAUUUUCCAUAUAUUCUUCGGGAGAGCUAUAUCAGGAUAGGAUCACCCAUCCGAGCUAGAUCCUUUUUACCGUCAAUUCCUUUUCAGAAAUCCAUCGAAUUUUCCUUUCAUUCAACUGAGAUUUAUUUUUCCUUUUCAUCAAGAAUAUCAAUACUUCAUUAAUUAUCAUACAAUAAACAUCCAAAUCAUAUUUACAUCAAUAAAAAUAUAUUUCAAGCAUUUAAGAAUAUAAUUCAAGUUACACGAACUUACCUCGAUACUUGUUUGUAUACAAAAAGUCUACUAAUCCCAAACUUUUUCUUUUCCUCGAUCUAGCUUCUUAUUUGAAUUUUUUGGAUUUAAAUAAAUAACUUUAAUCAUUAAUUUAAUAUAUUUCAUGUUCAUAUGUAACAUUCUCUAUAAUUCCAUUAUUAUUUAUAAUUCAUUCAGAGCUGUCUCUAAGGAGUCAUAGUCACUAAAUUAUUUAUAUCUUGAACUACGGAACUCCAAAUUAAGAUCCGCUUGAUUUUUCCAAAACUAAACUCACAUAUCUUCUUACCAUAAAAUUUUCAGAAUUUAUGGUUUAGUCAAUAAGUACAGUUAAUUCUUUAAAGUCAUCCCUGUUAUGCUGUCUGACAUUUUCGACCCUUCUUCACUAAAAAAUUAUUUUCUCCUAGUACGGGAUUCAAAUUAUGUUCCUGUUUGUUUCUAUUGAAAAUAUAAUCAUUAUUAAUUUUAAACAUAUAAAUUUAAGCCCUUAAUUAUUUUUAUCCAAUUUUUGAUGAUUUUCCAAAGUCAGAACAGGGGAACCCGAAUUCAUUCUGACCUUGUCUCACAAAAUUUAUUAUAUCUCAUGAUUUAUAAUUCCAUUGAUUGCACCGUUUCUUCUAUGAGAAACUAGACUCAAUAGGCUUUAAUUCCAUAUUUUUUUCAUCAACUAAUUCGAUUUUUACAAUUUAUGGUGAUUUUUUCAAAGUUAUCCUAUUGUUGCUGUCCAAAACUGUUUUAGUGUAAGAUGUUGAUUACCAUUUUUCCCCUAAGCUUUCAAUAAAUGAUAAUUUCGUCCCUGCUCAAUUAACCUCUUAAUUGAGCUGAUUUUUCUCAAUUAACACUUUAUUCUAUACUUUGAAAUCUACCCUGAAUGGACUCAACAGAAAGAACACAAUUUGUCUCUACGAUAACAUUUAUUCAUUUUGCUUCCCAUGUAAAUUAAAGACCAUCAUAGAUAACCCAUAAUUCAACUUACUUAAUGUUACAUCUCCCAAUAUUUCUUCCGAUUCUUCAAAACCAAUAAGUUUUAAUACUAUUAAAAUUAGAUAUCUUAAUAUAAAUUUUUAACCCAUGAAAUAAAAUAGAUUUAAAUAAUCAACCUCUAAAAAUUAUCUAUAUGCUGUCAAUACUAUAAUGCCUGAGUGUAUUUUGUUCAGUUCAAUUUUGGAUUUACACUGAAAUUAAUUGAAUCCAACCAAAUUCAUUUUUUAUGUUUAAUUUAUAUUAAGCUUUUCUUCUAUAAUAAUAUGAAAACAAAUAUUUUAUAUUUAAACCACGAUAAAUUAAAUAUUAAAUAUUACAAAAUUAUAUUCAAAAAAAUGUUUAGUAAAUUAAUAAAAAUUAAGUAUGAAAUAUAAUUAUAUUUUUCGGAUAAAUGUAAAAGUUGAUUUUCAAAAUGUUAUUUAUUUUUUAGUUUUAACCUUUUUAAUAUAAUAUUUCAUAUUAUUUUGGAUAAUCUUGAAAAAUAUUAAAAAUAUAAUUUUAAUAUCUCAUUUUUAAUAACUUAAGUACCUACCUACUUAUUUUAAUUAAUAUUUUUUUGAAGAAAUGGUAUAAUUAAUCACUUAAUUAUUGCUGUGUUUUUAUUUUUAUCAUAAAAAUAUUAAAAAUAAAUUGUGACAUAUUGAAUCGGGUUGAAGUAAGAUAUAGCUUUGACUUUUCGGGUGUUAUUAAAAGGCACUAAAUGAAGCAUACAAUUAAAGUAAAAAUCGAAUCACAGGUAGGGCCGUCCCUCUUGGAAAAAUUUUCAUUUAAGCCUUUAGAGUUUAUAAAAUUUUAAAUUAGUAAUGAUAAAAUUAUACUUUGACUCUUCAAAAAUAAUAAAAAAUUGAUUUAAUAUUUAAAAAAUAUAAAAAUAUAGAUGGUUAAAAUAAUAAAAUUAUAUUUUUUAUACUAUCGUAAAAUUAUAUAAUUUGAUUCCACCCAAAAAAUUUUUGAGAUCAAAUAAAAUCUAGAGAAUGUGGAAAAAAAUCCCAAGUAAGAGCAGGGAAAGGUAAUUUAUUUUUUGGAAUUAAAAUUAAAAUUUAAGUUUUCAUAUUAAGAAUACAAUUUAGGUGGUGUCUUAUUAUCGCAUCUAAUACUUAUCUAAAUAUUCAAAUAAGAAAUAUCAAAUAAAAAUAAUUAGGGUAAACUAUUAAAAUAGUCACUUUUGUUUACCUCAGAUUACAUUUUAAUCACUGAGCUGUAAAUUGCCAUUAAUGGUGUAACGAUAAGCUGGCGUGGCACGUUAAAUCAUCAUUUCAAACAAAAAUGUUAAGUUAAAUUAUAUAGUUUAAAUUUUUUCCUUUUAUUUCUUUAUUUUUCUUUUCUUCUUCCCCUUUAGUUUUGGCAAGUGGAACACAUAGAAAAAAACAUGUUAAAAAAGAUGAAGAAGGGAGGAAAACAAAGGGAGAAGCAGAAGAGAAUAAAAAAAAAAGAAAAAAAAAGGAAAGUUAAAAGAACAAAAAAAAGUUAAAUUACUCAAAAUGAAAAAAAUAUGGGGACCAAUUGUAUAAUUUAACUUAAAAUUUUAUUUGAAAUGAUGAUUUAACGUGCCACGUCAGCUUACUAUUACACCAUUAAAUAUAUCAAAAAUAUCAAUCAACGGCUCAAUAACUAAAAUGUUACAACACGCUAAUGUAAGUGACUAAAACGUAAAGUAACUAAAAUGUAAUAUGAAGUAAAUAAAAGUGACUAAUUUGAUAGUUUACCCAAAGUUGGAUUGUAGCAAAUUAAAGACAUAUUUUAGAAAUUUACGCAUUAAAAAUAUUUAAAUUUUGACUUGAAACUAAAUUAGAUGGGUGUGAACAGAAAUUACAACUUGGUUCCUGUUAGAUAAUUAUACUGGGCAAGCAAAUGUGGCCACUUAGCUACCAACUCCAACCUUUCUGCAUCUUUUUCCUGCUUUUGAUGCAAAGCUAGUUACCUAAAGUCAUGUUUUCUCUUUGAACCAAAUCGCCCUUAUAUACACCCAUUGGCCUCUUUGAAAGCUCUCACCAUAACAGCGUUUUCUCUUCCUAUUUCAGCUGUUUCCAGUUCAACUAUUCGAAAGUAAAAAAAUGGACGGAAAAACAAAAAACAUUAUGGUUUGUUCUAUAAUAGUCAUUACUCUUCUAGCCCUUGGCCUUGCUUCAAAUAUAAUUGGAGGAUACCUGUACCCUCAGUUUUACGAUCAUUCAUGUCCCAGAGCUCAAGAGAUAGUGAGAAACGUUGUUGCCAAAGCUGUUGCAAAGGAACCUCGUAUGGCUGCUUCAUUGCUUAGGCUACACUUCCACGAUUGCUUUGUUAAGGUAACUUAUUCAACCUCACCAAACCAAUAGCGUAGUGUCGAAUACGAGACUAGUGUGUCUAAUAUGGAUAUAUUCAAUUCAUUGUUUUCAGGGCUGUGAUGCAUCGAUUUUGUUAGACAGCGGCGGGAGCAUUAUCAGCGAAAAGAAGUCGAAUUCAAACAGGAACUCAGCCAGAGGAUUCGAAGUGAUGGAUGAAAUCAAAGCUGUAAUAGAGAAAGAGUGCCCUCAUACUGUGUCAUGUGCUGACAUCUUGGCUCUAGCUGCUAGAGACUCAACUGUUCUCGUAUGUUGUUUUUUAUCAGAGUUUUGUCUUGUCAUUGAAAUUGACCCCAUGGUAACAUGCUUUUUUGGAAUUGCAGACAGGUGGCCCUAGCUGGGAAGUCCCACUUGGAAGAAGGGACUCCAGAGGUGCAAGCUUGAGUUGCUCUAACAACAACGUCCCUGCUCCAAACAACACAUUCCAAACAAUUCUCACCAAGUUUAAGCUACAAGGUCUAGACAUUGUUGAUCUUGUUGCACUUUCUGGUAAGCUAUAUAGUUCUUUCACAUUCUGUAAAUGACCAAGAAGGCAAAACUCUGAAAAUAUAUAUCAUGCAGGGAGCCACACAAUAGGAUUUGCCCGAUGCACCAGGUUCAGGGAGAGACUUUACAACCAGUCAGGCAAUGGAAAACCAGACAACACACUUGACCAAUCCUAUGCUUCUCAACUGCGCAGGAACUGUCCAAGAUCAGGCGGCGACCAGAACCAAUUUUUCUUAGAUUUUGUUAGCCCCAUAAAGUUCGACAACAGCUACUUCAAGAACUUGAUGGCUAACAAGGGACUGUUGAACUCUGACCAAGUUUUGUUCACAAAGAAUGGUGAAUCAAGGGAGUUAGUGAAGACAUAUGCUUAUAACCAGGAACUCUUCUUUCAGCAAUUCGCUAAGUCCAUGAUUAAGAUGGGGAAUAUUUCACCGUUGACAGGGUACAGGGGUGAGAUCAGACAGGAUUGCAGGAAAAUUAAUGCUUAAAAUCAUGAAGUCAUACUUAUAUGAAUAAAGUUUGUACCCCUGAUUGUUAUGUUAUUUUGAUUUCCUUGUUUUGAAUUAAUUAAUAAAAGAAUUUCAUAUGUGUGUGCUGGGCUAACGAUUGUCCCUUUCUUUGUUCCCUGUUGCUGUUUGGGGGAGUCCCAAAAGGAUGGGUUAAUUUGUGAGGAGUUGUCAAAUCACUCAGUGUAAGAUCUAUGAACUUAUUAUAUAUUAUAUACAAACUACUGGUUUGGUCACUGAACAGAGGCAGACUGGUAGCUUAGGAGGCCUUGGUCACUCAAAAUUUUAGGAGAAUUUGAUUUCUCGUUUUAGAAAGUUUUAGUUAGUCUUUUAAAGUUAUUAAAAAUUUUCAUUUCUCUUUUUAAGCUUUUAAAAGAUUUUACUUAGACUCUUUUUAAUAUUUUGAAAACUCACAUUAUAUCUUUAAAUUUUUAAAAAAAAUCAAUUAAACAUUUUAAAAAUUCUUAUUAAUUUUACAAAAAAAUUUAAUUAAAUCCCAAUUUUUAUUUAAAAUUUUCUCAUUCAACUCUUAAAAUUUUGAAAAGUUUUACUAAACUCCCCCGAAACUUAAAAACUUAAUCUUGGGAUUCAUCAGGGUCAUUAAAAGAAGUAUUAUACAAACUCUUGAUUAAAUUUUUUAAUACAAAAAAAUAAAUAUACUAUAUAUUAAAAUUUAAAAUAUAUGUAUUUUUAAAUAAUUGCACGUGUCAAAGAAGCAUUGACUCAAUCUUAAAGUUGAGACUUGAAAAAUUUUUAACAAGACUCGGCAAUUCUUUUUGGAAUAAAUCAGCCAAUGGCAAUUUCAUUUAAUCAAUGGGAUAAAACAUCGUUAAAAACAAUAUCAUCGGUCCUACUAAACUUAAACCUAACAUCAUUGGUUGUACGUAAGCCUACGCAGAUCAAGUUAUGCAUGUUUGAGAUUUUCAAUUUUGGGGAUCCGAUUUGAUUUUAUAGAUUUUUUAAUUUUUUUAAUUAGAUGGAUUAGAUCGAGGUCAAGUUAAAAAAAAAACCCCCACCUUGAGAUAAUUACCAAACAACUCAUUUAUAUAUGAUAUUAGUUUAAGAUAGAUUUGUUCAUGGAUUGAGUUACCAGAUCUGAUUUGGUAAAAAUAUAUGUCUGAAAAAUGAGUUUGGCAAGAAAAUAAGGCCCGUUUGUAAAACAAGUCAAGCCUCGGGUAAGGCUUUUUUGACCCGAGCCAGAAUUUACAAAAAGAAAAGUCUAAUUUUUUUUAUUUUUUCAUCAUUAUUUUGCUACUAUCUCAUUAUUACGAUGCUACUGUUUUGUUGUUAAUAUUUGAAUAUUGUAUAAUUCUUGUUUUAUUAUUAAUUUUGUUUUUAUUUUAGAGAUAUUUACUUAUUAAAUUUAAGUUACACCUAUUUUAGUAUUAUUUAAGUAUACAUUUUUUUCAAGUUGUUGAGAAAUAUUUAUUUUAAUAUUUUUAGUAUUUUUUAUGUAUUAUAUUUUAAAAUAUAUAUAUACGGGAGGGCUGGACCGGGAUCAAAUUUUAAUAUUUUUAUAUGAGUCGGGCUAAGCCUAGCAAACGGGCAUAAGAUUCCGAUUGAGUCUGACCUGACCCAAUCAAUGAACACCUGUAGUUUAAAAUAUAUGAUAGUAAAAAAUAUAUUAAUGUUUACUCUAACGUAAUUAUACCCCGAAAACAAUUAAUAGCAUCAUUGAAAAUAAUAAUAAAUCAAAAUUAGUGUUCCAUUUUGAUAAAAAAAAAAUCAGCAUAUCAAGUUGGGUCAAAAGGUAAAUCUUUAAUUUUUCGAGUUAAGUUGAAGAUAAAUAAAUUAAUAUUUACUAUUAAGUUAGCCCGAAGUGGGGUUAAGUGUUGCCAUCUUUAUUUUGAUUUUUUAAAGAUUUAGUUGUUAAUUAAUUAAUUGAGUUAAUUAUUUAAGGGUUAAAUGAAGCAUAUAAUUAAAGUAAAAUCGUAUCAAACUUCAAUUAAUUACAAAUCAGAUAAGAUACGAAUGGCGUAGGUUUAGGAAAAGAGAAUUUAUUUCGGAAAUAAAAAAUAAAAAAAAUCGUCGCAAAAAGAUGGGACUAUAAAACACAGGCGCCGCGCGUAAUAGUCACUCUACUUUUCGCUGCUUUCAGUUCUUGGCUGUUGACUCGAUCUCCCUCGGUGCUCUCUCUCGCUCGCGGCUCUCUUCUCUACGGGUAAAAUUCUAGGGUUUUCACUUCUUCUGUUUAUAAUUCUUGCUUCUACAAAUAAGCAUUAAUCCAAGGUCUUUGCUUUGAUUUGUUAGUUUCGGUCUUCCUUGAUUUUUCAAUUUAGGGUUUUCUUUUUAAUUGGAUCUAGGUUUUCUUUUUUAAACAAAAAAUUGAAUGUACUCAUUGUUAUGGUCGAUGAUCUUUUAAUGAUAUGGGAGCCUUGAUAUUGAAAACAGGCUUUACAUUGCACACCAAAUGAAUUUUGAGCUCAGUUGGGAACAGCCGCCUUCUGUUUUUUGUUCUGAUCUGGGGUUUACGAACCGUGGGAGAUUGAGGUAUUUUUCACAAAAGAUUUUCUUUUGGCAUUGGACUUGGCCCGUUUUUUACGCGUCAGGUUUUUUGUUUUGAUUAUACGAUUUGAUUCUGCUGCGUUACUUGAAGAAGCGGAAUCACAAAUUUUGUUGUUCAUUUUCUCGUGAGCCAUUUGUUUGUUAUUGGAUACCGAGACUCCAAGUUUUGGAUUUUUCUGAUGGGGAAAAACACAUUGCCCCCGGGGUUUCGAUUUCACCCCACCGAUGUAGAACUUGUUAUGUAUUAUUUGAAAAGGAAAGUAUUAGGCCAGAAGCUUUUGUUGAAUGUGAUUGCUAAAGUUGAUGUUUAUAAGUUUGCUCCCUGGGACUUGCCUGAUAUGUCCUGUAUGAAGACCGGGGAUCUUAAAUGGUACUUCUAUUGUCCUAUCGAGAAGAAAUAUGCUAGAGGGGAUAGGGUGAAUCGAGCUACUAUAUUCGGCUACUGGAAAGCCACAGGAAAGGAUCGGCCUGUAAAGUACAAUGGCGAAGUUGUUGGAAUGAUCAAAACCUUGGUAUUUCACAAAGGUAAAGCUCCACGUGGUGACCGAACAGACUGGGUUAUGCACGAGUAUAGGCUUGAAGAAAAAAUAUUGGCUGACAGAGGGCCUGUUCAAGAUAUGUAUAUGCUUUAUGUUGUUUUCAAGAAGGAUGGUCUGGGCCCAAGAAAUGGUUCCCAAUACGGGGCCCCAUUCAAGGAAGAGGAGUGGAGUGACGACGAGCAGGCAGAUGUGCCUGGUGCUGGUUCCCUUUGCGGCCUGUCUACAGUAGCUGUUGGUGGUGAUAAUAGCUCCUGUGUCCCCGAGAGUGUAUGUGUUGGGCCUUCUGUCGAGUCAAGUGGGUGGUGUACACAACCAUCGAUGGGUCAUACUAAUGGCGAUGUUAAUGUCACCACUGCCAUUGAUACUAAUGCUUAUGCUGCCCCUACAUGCGCGGAUGCCCCUGAAGUUCCAGUGGUCGCUGUUGCUGAGGAUGUUCCUACAUUGUUGGAGGCGCCUCAACCUGCUCUGGUUCCUCAAGAUCAAGAAUCGAAUGAUAACGUGUUAUCUAUGUUGGAGUGCUUCUUUGAAGAGGAUGCAUUUGGUACACAUGAAGGUCUGAGGAGGGGCAAUGCAACUGAUUCUUCCUUCAAGGAUACUCCCGUUUCUGAUGAGGAUGAUAUUUCAAGCUUGUUGGCCUCUUUUACUGAUGUCGACAAUUCAAAUAACUGGUCUUAUCCUUUUUAAUAAAGUAAUUGUUCAACUAUUGGAACUGGAAGCUAUGUUUUUAGAUUACUUGUUUUAUUCUUAGGAAUAAAUGCUGUUGUUUGGUUUACCAGUGUCAUUGACUUGUUUCUGUUUGAUUAUCAUGUUGUGCUCUCUAUACAUUUUCUUUAAUGGAAUGUCUGGCAUAUUAAUUGUGAAUUUAAAUGUUCCAGUAUUAUGAAUUUUCUGACUGUUGCUCUAGGAAUCAUAAGGUUGCAGGUACAAACUACAAUCCAUUGAAGAAAAAGUAUAAAAGCACAUAUGAAAGGAAAGGUAUCUCAAAGGAAUGAAUGCUGCUGCUGCUGUUGGGUUUACUAGUGUUAUUAUCAGCAAGUGUUUGGUUUGAGAUAGAAGAGCAGCAGCAUUCAUAUCAGUUUAAAUACUUUUUCUUCAAUGGAGUGUCAGUUUUAACCUGCAGUGUGUGGUGAUUUAAAUUGAUAUAAAUUAUUUUGUAGUAAUAUUUCCCAAUUCCCAUGGCUGUUUGGAUAGGAAUCAUAAGUAGGCAGUCUUGGGAACAUAUAUUUUCUUUACCCCUAGGUGUGUUCAAUAGUUUUCUAUUACUACUGCGAAAGGAAAGGCACAAAAGAGAAAAACAGGGCCCUCAUGUUAUUAGUUUCGCCUAACAAUGAUGAAAAACAUAAACCAGAGUCAUGUGAUUUUAUGUUGUUUCAUUCCAUAAUCUGCUGUAAAUACGUUAGUUUUACUUGAAACUGAUAGCAAGUUAACUUCAAAUACAAAAUUUGCGUUUCUGUCAAAUUUAGGCUUAACUGAACAAAAUCAAGCCUAAUUAAUUAGUAUGAUUAAAGGAUUUACACAACUUGAUCCCAAUUUUGUUAAAAUUAUGAUCAACACACUAUAUUUGGAUUUUUGUGCAAACUCCUUUACUUUGAUGACUAUUUAAAAUGUUUACUUUCAACUCAAUUAAUUAAUUUUAAUUGUCUUAUCCAGAAUAUGCAAUUACGUAAUUCAUACAAUUUUUUUCCUGAUUUUUCUAUUAGUUUUAAGUUUUUACUUGCAAAUAGUUGAAAGUUAUAACGAGUUAUUGGAAAAAUUGAUUAGACAUAUAAUUAACUUAUAAUCGAGUUUUAACUCUUCAUUUAUUAAAUAUAAAAUUACUAAAUGAUAGAGUCAAAUCAUUAAAAAUAUCAUUAUUGAACUCUCCUUUAUAUAUCAUUACAAAAGCUGUUUAUAUUUUUAAAUUUCAAUCCAAUAAAAUUAUCUUAUAAGCAUUUCGUGAUCGCUUAAUGUUAAACUUGUUCAACUAAUGUUUUCACUUUUAUCUCAUGGGUACCAUUGUACUUAUUAUAUGAUGAAAAUGAUCUUUAUUUAUACCGAUAAUGAUUAAGUCAUUUGUUCUAGACAAAUGAUUCAUGAUUAUGUUAAAUUUUAAAAAAUCAUAAAGUUAUUUUAUUACCUCUAUUUUAUUUUAAUAUGAUAUUUACAUUUUAAUUUAUUAUGUAUAUUUUAUUACCUAUCAAUUGUAUAUUUAUACUUACUAUUAUUUAAACCUCUAAUUGAAUUGGUGUCACUAGUCAAUUGAGCACCAAUUUGGUUUGAAAAAUUAUGAAAAUGUCAUUUCCUAUUAAAAUAAGUACAUUAUUCGAGGGUACUUUAAUCUCUUAAUUUUUUAGGGUUAAAUCACUUUUGAGAGCCUGAACUUGAUAACUUUUCCUAUAUUAGGGCUUGAACUUUUUUUUUGUCCAAGUUAGCCUUUGAAAACCUUGAAGUUCAAACUUAAACCCCUGUUGAGUUGGUGUCAUGAGUCAACCGCGCACUAAUUCGGUUUGAGAAAUGAUAAAAGACGUUGCUUUAUAUUUAAAAUAAGUUAUAUUAUUCAAUGGUACUUUAAUCUUUUUAUAGUGAGGUUUAAAACCCAUGCCAUUUACAUUUAAAAAACCCUUAACCAUUGAACUGAAUGUAACACCCCUAACCCUUAUUCGGCGCUGGAACAGGGUUGCAGAGCAUUACCGAGCUUUUCAGAUCAAUUACGAACAUUUCAUAUGAUUUAAUACACAUAUUAGAAACCAAUCAUAAUUCACUCACAUUGUCCCUUACACGAGCCCUCGAGGCCCAAAAUAUACAUUAGAAACAAGUAGGGACUAAACCGAGAACUUAGGGAAUUUUUCGUGAAAUUUCAAAAUUUUUAUUAGGUGUAGGAGACACACAUCCGUGUGGGGAUUCGAUGUGAGGCACACGGCCGUAUCCUAACUCGUGUCCAUACCCGUGUAACUCUCUGACUUGGGUCACACGACCAAGCCACACGCCCAUGUGCUAGGCCGUAUGAACAAUUUAAUUUGUAAUAAUUAGGUGCAGGGGUCACAUGGCCAAAAAAUACGCCCGUGUGUUAGGCUGUGUAUCACACACGGCUGAGACACACACCCGUGUCUCUGUCCGUGUGGGCAAUUCAGAGCAUUCUAUUUCUUAAUUUUCAAGAUGCAGAGGACACACAGCCAAACCACACGCCCAUGUGCACGCCCGUGUCUCUGUCCGUGUGGACAAAAUAAGGUCAUUCUGAAGCCUUAUUUCUCACCCAAAUUGCCUUCCACCUACAUAAACACUUAACCAUGUUCACCAACUAAUUCAAACCAUUCAAAUUAAGCCAAAUUCAUGUAUUAAGUAUGACAUAAUGUCACAUAUAACUAAGUAUUCAAACUUACUAAAUUAACCCAUUUCACAUAUAUGCAUAUUGGACUAAAUGUGCUAACUCAAUCUAAUCAUCAAUAUAUCUAUAUGCUUUUCAACACUUAACCAUUUUAAACACAAACCAAGCAUGAUAAAGCUACACACAUACAUAUAUAUGUAUACUUCAAAAUAAAACUAUUACAAGCCAUUCCAAUCGCUAGUUCCAACCAAAUAUUUAUAUGCCAUCAUUUCGCCAAUUUAACCUAUACAUGCCAUUAUAACCAAAAAUUAACUUGCUUUACAUAUCGAGAAGUCCUAGGGAUAGUGUGAUGUGACUCCGACCAAGUUCCAACCUUCACGAGCUUCUGAGUACUAUAAAACAGAGGAAAUAAAACAGAGUAAGCUUUUAAGCUUUGUAAAUUCGUAUAACAUGUAAUUUAACUUACCUUUAUUUCACAAUUGUAAGCAUACAAAUAAACAUGCAUCCAAAGCAAUUUGGCCAAUUGCCUAAACACAUAUACUCAUCAAGCAUGUUAGUCAUGUAUUUCAUGUGCAUUUCAAGUAACAGAGAUGAGCUCAUCAUAUAAACCUUUCCAUGUAUUUUCAGGUAGAUACAAAUAUUGAUUCGUUCAGACCUUAUCUUAACUUACAUCGGAACCUUGUCCAUUGAACCUUAUGAAAUAUCGAUGAACAUCAGGUAGUACACAAUGAAGUGUACGAAUCUUUAAUCCUUCAAUUCAUAUUCGGGAGUGCUCAUAAGAACACUUAAAUGGGAAGCACUCUCUCGAUCCAUAUAAUGGGAAGCUCAUAAGAGUCAUAUUCAGGAAGCUCAUGCGAGCCAAUAUCAGAUAGCUCCGAAGAGCCAAUAACGGAAAGCUCCGGAUAGCUUAAUAUCAGGAAGUUCAAGCGAGUCAUAUCGGGAAGCUCAUAAAGAGCCAAUUAACAGGAAGCUCACGAAGGGCCAUAAUCGGGAAGCUCAUAAGAGCUACGGUGUGUCCACAACACAUGUAGGAUCACAACCAAUCAGGAUGCUCCGAAAAGCUAUUAACGGGAAGCUCGCAAGAACCAUAUGACGGGAAGCUCGAGAGGGCUAAUAACGGGACUCUCUUUUGAGUUGUGGUGUAUCCGCAACAUAUGCAGGACUACAACCAAUACGGGAAACUUAUAUCCAUCGAUUUUCAUUUGUUCAAACGAGACUUAACAUUUAUCAGGCAUUAUCGGAUAUUUGAUAAAUUUCAUAUACAUGGCAAUUAUACAAUUCACAUAUACAACAUUUAAUUCAAACAUAUAAAUGUACAACAUUUAGUUACACGAACUUACCUUAACAACGUUCGCGUUUGUAGGCUACUAAUCCAAUACUAUUUAUUUUCCUCGAUCCAAUUCCAAACUUGGUCUAUUCGGAUCUAUACGAGUAAAUUUAACUAAAUUUAAUACAAUUCAUAUUCAAUUCCAUUCAAUUCACAUAUUAGGAAAAAUUACCAUUUUUCCCCUAUGCUUUUGAUUAAUUACAAUUUCGUCCCUAGGCUCGGAAAAUGAAAUUCAUGAAAUUUAAUCUUCAUUCCAAGCCUAUUAAUUUUCAUACAUAUUAAUAGCAACCCAUGAAUUCCAUAAAAUUUAGAAGUUUCCAUGAAUUCAACAUCUUUUCAAUUUAAUCCCUAAAUCAUGAUGUCAUCAAAAUUCUUUAAUAAAACACUUUUAAAUACCCAUCAACACCUCAAAUUCAUCAUCUAAUAACUAAAAUCAUAUGAACUCAUCAAUGGUAACUUCCAAGAUUUUCAAUAAAUCAAAAACCAAAGUAAAGGUUAAGUGAGCCUAAUUGUAAAAAUCACAAAAGUAUAAAAAUUUCAAGAAACGGGUAAGAAUUUGAUUUACAUGGAGAAAGAAUUGAAAAACCAGCUUAAACCCUCUUCAAUUUCUAUUUCUAGAACUGAAAAUGAUGAUGAAAUGUCUAGAAUUCUUUAAUUUCUUAUUUAUUUCAUUAGAUUUGAAAUUUUGCCCUUAGUUCACACAAUUUUAUCAUAUUUUUAAGGCUUAUGCAGACUCAGCCAUUUUCUUUUGGCAUAUUUAUGCCUUAAGUCCCUCCUUAUUUAUUGGUUAAGCUAUUUAAUCACUAUUUCUUUUAAUUAACAAGUUUUGCACCUUUUCCAAUUAGUCCUUUUUAACAAAUUAGACGUGUAAUCGAUAAAAUUUCUUAACAAAAUUUUCAUACGACAUUCCUAUCACACCAUAGACUAUAAAAUAAUAUUAAAAUAAAUUUUCUUCCGACCUCAGAUUUGUGGUCUCGAAACCAUUGUUUCGAUUUUACUGAAAACGGGUUGUUACACUGAAACUUUAUUUUUAAUAUAAUAUAUCAAUUUUAUUUUUAUUAUACAUACUUUAUUACCUCAAUAAAUUAUAUAUAUUGAUAAUAUUGUUGAUUCUUUAUUAGCUCAAUAGAUUAUAUAUGUUGAUAAUAUUGUUGAUUCAGUUGGUAUCACAAGUUAACUUGAUAGUUACCAUGAUAAACAAUUAUAGUGCAUUAUGCUGUAUUUACAUAUUUUAAAUUUUGUUUUACUCACGGUUUAAUCUAUUUUUUUCAUUUUAAAAUCAUACAUAUUUCACGUGUUAUUACUAACUAAUUUCAAUUCACAUGUUUCAUUAUUCAUUGCAUAUUAUUCUUAAAUGCACAUUUAUGUUUUAAAUACGUAGUUUCUGUAUGCAUAAACUUUUAAUCAUAUAUAGAAAAGGAAGCAAAAUAAAAAAAAUUGACUAGAAUAUGAAUCUGAACAAUUAAAAAUUAAAAUAAAUCAAACUAAUAUUGACUAAAUGGUAUUAAAAUAGCACAUGACCACAUGAUGGGACAAAAAAAUCUACAUAUAUAAUUAUGUAAAAUAAAUCCUAAACACUUACAACUAAAAUUCAAACACCUCAUAUAGUGUUGUAAUUAAAAGUCCUUACAAAAUUAUGCAAUAAAUAAUGUGUUUUUGACAACUCCUACUUCUUCUUAGACUUUCUCUUGUUUUCCUCAAUAUUUUUUGAAUUAAUUGUAUUUUAUUAUUUGAUUUUAGUUUAAUUUUUUAAAAUCUAAAUUAUUAAAAAACUUAAGAAAUAACCAAAUCAAAAUAGUGUUAUCUCACUCUUACUUCAAGAAAGAAGAGCUUAUUGGCAGAGAAUUUGUGAUGGUUAUGUUUUGCCCAAAAAGUAGUCACAUGCAUAUUUCAGACUUUAAUGUGAGAAAUUAGUCUGACAAAAAGUGUGACAUACAAUCAAUGCUCACCUUUUCCUAUUAAUUUCGCUACUAUAAAAUAUAUUAAGCAUUGUGGGUAAUGUCCUUUUGGAUAGGGAUAACUAUGGAGUUAGGCAAUGUUUGAACUUUGUUAUUAAAUGCCUGAAAGCAUUGCUUUCAUAACCAUAUCACUUCACCUCCAUUCUUUUAUUAACUAUACACUAGAGUUAGUGUAUAUUUAUAAUCUAGUUGAGGAUUUUAUGUAACAAUUAUUUAUUAUGGAUCGAGUCACCCCCAGGUCUAAAGGCCUGUUUAAAAUGUGGAAGGGUUUGGAUAAAAAUACAGGCCCAAAAAAUAGGUUUGGACAAAAAAUAAUGCUCGUUUGCUGCCAUUUUGAUGUUGUUUUGCUACUGUUUUGUUGUUAUUAUUUGAAUAUAGUAUAACUAUUUCCUACUACUUUAGAGACAUUUCUUGCUAAGUUGCAAUUAUCUAAGUAUUAUUUGAGUAUAAAGAUUUUUUUAAUGUAUUUUUAAUUUGUUGGGAAACAUUUAUUUUAAUAUUUUGUGUAUUUGAUGUAUUGUAUUUUUAAAAUUCUUUUAUAUAAAAAUUUAAUACAGGCAGGUCGAACUCGAGUUUAGCAUUUUUUAUCUGGCUCAGGUUUGGGCAAAUUUUUAGGCCCAGAGCUUAAAAUUUUGUAUUGGCCUAGCCCAAACCCGGCCUAACCCAUGAUUAGAUCUAAUUAUAAUGAUAAAAUUAAUUGUUUAUCAUGCAUAGUAUUUGGAGUUCAAAUCUCAUUAUGAUUAAAUUGUUUAUUCAUUUAUUAUAUAUAAAGACAAAAACACCCUAUAAAAAUAUAACUUAAUUUGUACCAAAUAUGGUCUUUUAGUAAUUUCAUAACUGAGUUGGUACCCAAUUAGUUCACGAUACCAACUCAGUAGAACACUUAAAAUAAGUAUAAAGUAUAUAUAUAAUAUACCCCUUCACACACAUAUAUUUCGUAUUAUACUCUAAAACUAUAUAAGAUACAAAUAAAAUAUUUUAAAAUAAACUAUACAAUCAAUCACUCAACUAUUAGCAUGUUUUUGUUUCGAGCACAGAACUACGAAAAUUUUCAUUAUUGUUAUUAACAUUAUUGUUUGUUUAUGUUUUGGUCACCCUUCGUUAAAUAAUUAGCGAAAAUGAUGACAUGGUUUUUAAAUUGGUAUAAUUACACAUUUAGUCCUCAACACUUACACACUGUAUCAAUUUAAUUCUAAUUCUAAAUAAUUCGAUAAAAUUAACCUUUCAUAUUUACAAAUUUCAUCGAUUUGUAACAUGGGAAGACAAAGACUACAUACUUAUUUAUCUUUAGACCUUUGAAUUUAGACAUAUUUUGAGACUAUAAAUAAUACUUUAUAAACCAAACAAGGAGAAGAAAGAGAAUAUAAUAAAGGGAUAGAAGAGUAAAUUCGAUAUUUGAGGGUUUUCCUUGUGGGUGAUGAGAAUCAAGGGAAAAGAAGAACAAACGAUUGCGAAUGAAGUACGAAAGCUGGUUGUGGCGCAAACUAGGUGACGGCAGAGGGCAAUAGAAAAGGCGCUCAUAGCAAUAAUGGCACUGAAAAAUGAUAACAACGGCAACAAUGAGAACAAGAAUAAGAAACGAUGAGCAUAGGGGGUCAAUGAGAAGUUAGCUGUCACGGUGGCUAAUGAAGCAACAAAUAGGGAGGAGGAGAAUAGUGUCACGGGGCUAGACCUUUAGUCUCGCAAACCGUGCGGCCUUAGGCGAUCCGUUUACUCCAAACUCACCUAAGUUAGCCUUUACGCCCAAAAGUGAGGAUUCCUUAGAACUCCUCCAAGGCACCAAUUUGUAUAGCGAAAGCGAUUGUGCCAAAAGAAGCUACAAAAGAACAACAGAAAAACCAAAGAAAGAAUGCACACAAAGUGUUUGAGUAAAUGCUCAAGGAGUUCUAUUACUCUUAAGAAUUCACCUUACAAUGGAUGAUUACAAAUGAGGGGGAGGCUCUUUAUUUAUAGUUGAGCUUCCCCAAAACUGACGGUCAAGAUACAUUUACAUCGACGGACGAGAUUCACUAUAUCCCUUGAUUUUAGGGAUUUACAAGAUUUGCCAUAUCAAAUCUAAUCUAAUCUUUACAAGAUAUGAUUCUCUCUAUCUUUUAAGAUUAGUUACCAAAAUUAGCCUAAGUUGCUAUGUCUUCAUCAUCGGGCCAACCAGGCUUCAAUCUGACAGGCUUCUCCAAUAAUUCCUUGAAUCGGGCCAGUUCUCGUAGGCUAAAUGUUCCCCAUCUUAUUAAUGGACCUCCAUGGGGCACAUCUUGUGCCAUGGUCACGGGCUUUGCACUUUGGCCCGUGACAUUCUCCCCCAUCCAUUCUCGCAACGCCCUCGUUGCGACUUCUAGAUGAUACUGACUUGAUUCACCUUUUCUCGUUGCCUCGGCUUCUUCCCGACUUGCCUUGCGAUCGGGUUGUCUCUUCCUUCGGAACUUAUGCCUCGGCUUCCGUCGCCUCUUAUCUUGAACCGUUGCACUCGUUGGUACAUUCUGUUGGCAAGAAGUCUCCGCUUUAACUUACCCCAAUUUUGACUUGUUUCCACUGGAAUCCCCUGGAUUCUCACAUCUUGGCUUCGUACCACCCCUAGUCCCUUUGCCUCUUUGCUUAUGAACUUUGAAAGGGCCCCUACGACCUUGCCAAGCCAACAAGUCAGAAUUCAAAACACUAUUAGAGUGUUUGCAAUGUACCUUACUCGUAGCAUUUACUCGUAUCGACUGUCUUUGCAUCGCUUCUUUCCCCUCGAAGCUCGAUGCACAACCCACCUUUCCCAAAGGUGUCGGCUCCACAGUCGAUCUCGCAGGCUUCAUAUCGGUCCCUUGCGCCACUAACACUUCCGAAGGGGCUUUCGUAGCAUUCCGUUCUGACGAAUUAAUGUUUCUCCCAUGCGAAACAUCUUCGACAAGUUGGAUUGACGAUAACACCUUAGUCCCAACCUUCACAUCCCGAUGCACCGGCACAAUCGUUUUUGUUGACGGACCGGUAACAAUAUGGAUUUGAUCAGCCCAUGGUUGCAGAGUUGCCUGAAUCCUGUCAAGGAAGUUUAAGCCAAGCACAUAAUCGUAAUCAUCCAAUUGGAUUACCUCGAAAUCUUCAUUGCUCUUCCAUUCGCCGAUUUGUAGUUCCACAUCACGAACUACUUCCACAGUUGGGGCUUUCUUGGAAGUUGCUACCUUGAUUUUCUUAUUUGAUUUCCUAAUCGACAGACCAAGCUUCUUCGCAGCCUUUUCCGACAUGAACAAGUCCGAUGCUCCCGUAUCAAUAAGAGCACUCCGCUUCUGACCCGCAAUGUUGAUGUCCACAAACAUCAACCCUUUUCUACCAUUCUCUUCCCAGGAAUGAGCACCAUCGAAUUGACUUUCGAUGUCUUUCCCUCGAUAGGCUUCGCCUCAUCUUUCUUUUUGAUUGCUGAAACCAUCACUUUAUUUGGACAUUUUCGCGCCAUGUGUGGUCCUUGACAAAGGAAGCAUUUUAUCUUCUUCCUCUUGUCCCUUGGGUUGUCGAAUCCCCGAUUCGUAUUUCGUGGUUUCUCAUUGCCACUUGUGCUAUCGGUACUGUUGUCAUUAUCGCUAUGUCCCUCUUCAUCUUCUUGAUGGUUUCUCUCACCAUUGCCCUUUCCAUUGGGCUUAGAUGCCUCAAGCUCGUCUCUCGCCGGACCAAGCUCAACAAAGGACUCUGCUUCUGCCAUGGCUACAGUAAGUUUAGUGAUUCCUUGCCUUCGCAACUCAUGCUUUGCCCUCGGCUUUAACCCAUCCUCGAACCAAUAGAACGUUUCUUUCUCGCUGAAGUCAGAGAUUUGAAGCAUCAACUCGCUAAAUGCCCGAACAUACUCCCGAACAGUGCCUUGUUGCGUGAGACGACGCAACUUAGCCCGAGCCUCCUUCUC
rnacentral:lncRNA from 1 species